AGCUUGCUCUCGGGUGACGAGCGGCGGACGGGUGAGUAAUGUCUGGGAAACUGCCUGAUGGAGGGGGAUAACUACUGGAAACGGUAGCUAAUACCGCAUAACGUCGCAAGACCAAAGUGGGGGACCUUCGGGCCUCAUGCCAUCAGAUGUGCCCAGAUGGGAUUAGCUAGUAGGUGGGGUAACGGCUCACCUAGGCGACGAUCCCUAGCUGGUCUGAGAGGAUGACCAGCCACACUGGAACUGAGACACGGUCCAGACUCCUACGGGAGGCAGCAGUGGGGAAUAUUGCACAAUGGGCGCAAGCCUGAUGCAGCCAUGCCGCGUGUGUGAAGAAGGCCUUCGGGUUGUAAAGCACUUUCAGCGGGGAGGAAGGCGGUGAGGUUAAUAACCUCGUCGAUUGACGUUACCCGCAGAAGAAGCACCGGCUAACUCCGUGCCAGCAGCCGC
rnacentral:rRNA from 1 species